CAAAACAUCUCACCUCAAUCAAAAAGGAGGGAGUAAAAGGGCGUUGUACCGAGUGUUGUAUAACAGGUGAGCCGUUUUCUUUUGACAUUUUUCCUUGCCGGUGCCACUUGAGCUCGUCAACUGAUCACACAAGUUUGCCAACAUGAGCACUAAGGCAAGGUUGAUCCAAGCGAUGUGCAUUCUCCAGGAAACAUUUGUGGAGUAUGCAGAGAAAUCAGGAGACAAAA